rnacentral:lncRNA from 1 species
GCAUAUUUUGGGAUGUGGAAUUGUGUAGGGAGGCAGAAUCCUGUAAGAGUCCAGGAUCAUUAAGACUCUUCACUCAACCUCAUUACAUGCCUAUAAAAGGGGCUUUUAUAGUUUCUUUUGUGGAUGUAAGAUACCAAAAGAGAGUUCUUUAUGUGGUAAAAGUUUGGGCAUAGUUCAUGGUAUGAAAAAUAGAGAGGAGGA